GAUGUUAAUAUGAAAGUAAUGUUUUUCCUUCAGGUACACACAUGUGCCUCCAGCACUAGGUAGAUCUAUGGCCCUUCUAGUUGAUAAAAUCAACACUUGCCAAGAAAUCUUCCUUGUUGGGUCACUAUAUGGAGCCAAUCAAGAUAGGUUUGUGAGUGUCUUAGCCUACUGCACUGACAUAUAUACAGAGGCCAGCCCCAUAGUGGUUCUGGCCAAUCCCAAGGUCACUAUAAUUAAGAAAUUUGCACCAGAGCUACCCUCUCUUGGCAUUGUUUUCUGUCAUCAUCAUCAUCAUUGUUGUUAUUGUAGAUCUGGACAUCUAGGUGUUUCCAUGAGCAUAAUCUACAUCAAGGAGGUUAGGCUAAAGAGCACCUUCCCUCCCAGUUGAUUGGAAAGGUAAGAUAGGCCACAUUACCCUUGGUGAAUAGUCUGCGUGGGAUCCAAUGCUGAUGGCUAACCACAGCCAUGGCUCCCUGGGUCUGUCUGCAGGGGAGGAUCCUGGCAGUGUGUGCCAAGUGACAUGGGUGGAAGCAUGCAGCUUUUCUCAGGCUGCGGUGCUCAGUGCCUCACUUGGGUAGAUCUUAUGGGGGGAAAAAGCCUUGAGAUGCCAUCAGGAGUCUUUUUGCCAGAAGGUGAGAGAAUGAGAAAUGGGAUACCUGACUGGUUAGUGAAUCCCAUCCUGUCUGACAGGUUUUUUUUCUUGCCUGGAGAUAGGGCAUGAUGUUUACUGGGCAUACUGGAAGGCCCAACUGUUCCUCAUAGGUAGAAUUCCAGUGUUCUGAAAAUUGACGUCACACAGGGUUCAGGCUCCCUGAUUAUAGGUAGUGUUUUUAAAACAAAUGAGGAACCUAGUAUCCAGUUAAAAAAGAGCAUGGAGCUGUCACUGGACAGUGGG